rnacentral:sRNA from 1 species
UUUUUUGUUGAUUUUU